rnacentral:rRNA from 1 species
AACGAACGCUGGCGGCAUGCCUAACACAUGCAAGUCGAACGUGAUCCGUGCCUUCGGGUGCGGUGAAAGUGGCGCACGGGUGAGUAACGCGUGGGAACCUGCCCAAUGGUAGGGAAUAACCGCGGGAAACUGCGGCUAAUACCCUAUGAGCCCUACGGGGGAAAGAUUUAUCGCCGUUGGAGGGGCCCGCGUCGGAUUAGGUAGUUGGUGGGGUAAUGGCUCACCAAGCCUUCGAUCCGUAGCUGGUCUGAGAGGAUGAUCAGCCACACUGGGACUGAGACACGGCCCAGACUCCUACGGGAGGCAGCAGUGGGGAAUAUUGGACAAUGGGGGCAACCCUGAUCCAGCAAUGCCGCGUGAGUGAAGAAGGCCUUAGGGUUGUAAGGCUCUUUCGGCGGGGACGAUGAUGACGGUACCCGCAGAAGAAGCCCCGGCUAACUCCGUGCCAGCCGCCGCUGUAAUAC